ensembl:lncRNA MAP9-AS1 MAP9 antisense RNA 1
AGUAACUGGCAUUUGGUUAUGGGGUGGCUGUUUUUCUACGUGGACCAAGCAGGGUCCCAGUUCAAGUUUCUGCUGCCUAUCUGAUAAUCUUGAGGUAUUUAUGAAGGACUCCUUUGAAAGUUCUCUACUGAGUUUCCUUAAGGAAUUGGAAUAUUUUCUACAGGAAUUAGGAGUGUGACUUCAGGAAUGGCUUAUUCCAAGUUGUAAAACUAUCCCCUGUCGUGAAGUAUUCAGUCCAGGUUUAAGUCCUUCAGCAUCUGACAUUCUCCUGGCAACUGUAAUUGAAUCAAUGAUGACUCAUCUGAGAUGAGCAAGUUGGUCCAGUCAGACCAAACAAAAGACAUUCUAUAAUCAGGGGAGAAGUCUUCUCUAUAUCUCUCUUAUAUGAGCAAAUUUAAUGACCUCCACCAUCUCUAAGAACAAGCAGCUAUUUCUGUAGAGAAAGAUCAUCUUUGGAUAACAAUACAUGAUUUUAGGCUCUAAAAGUUAAAACGUGUUUGUAACGUUGAUAUUAUGCAGAGGUCUUGACAGAACUUGGCAGUCUCUGAGGCUACAGAGAAGUGUGAAAAAGAGCAUAGAGAUUUCAGAAGGAGGCAGAUUCAGUCAGACGUACUGAAUCCCGUUUGAUCUCAACUCAGGCACACUCCAGAUGGACGGAGCAGGAAAACCCUUAGUGAAACCUGCCUCUGCAGGUUGAUGGCUUGGGAGGAAAGGCAUUAUGGAAAAUGAUUAGUUUAUGGAAAAAAUAAAUAAACAAGACUGGUCAGAAAGACUGUGAAAGAAGAACUAUAAAGGGAGAUGAAUCCAAGCAGAUAUUUAGACAUAUCAAGCCUAAUAAUGGAAGUGUGGCACUGGAAUCACGAGACUGACCAAUGGAACAGAAAGUUAAGAAACAGACCCGAAAACAUGAGAAGAUGUGAGAAUCACAGCAAAGGAAGAAUGGGCAUGAAUAGUAAAUGGUAAAUGUGGGGAUGCAGUAUUGAACAGCACACUGGAGUUUUUGUCCAGAAGUUUGACUUUAGAAGAUAAGAAAUAACUGAGCGUAUUACAAGCAGGAGUUAGAGGAAGAGACUCAGUACAGAAGAGACAGGAACAAAAGUUCACCUCCAUUCAAUGGGAAAGGAUACAGAUCAAGAGUUCAGGAAAAGUAGGAGAAAGAAGCUCUAUUCCAGAAGCAGUCUGGAGCACAAAGAAUCCCUAAUCACUGACAUUAAGAAAGAAGAAAAAUAUUCCUAGGACGAUCCUGGAGAGCAAAGGUCAUCAGCAGUCACUUGACUUUCCUUGGAUUUCUCAACUGCAGUAGUCACAUGGUCUGCUGAAAAUGAAUUCUCUUUAUUUUCAUCUGAUUUCAAGGAAUUAUGGUUUUCAGUGAUUUCUUCAUUUGGAUCUAUUUUGAGACAGAGUAAUAGCAUUAAAACCCCCUUCUGAAUUAAUAAG